CCUACGGGUGGCAGCAGUGGGGAAUCUUGCGCAAUGGGCGAAAGCCUGACCGAGCAACGCCGCGUGAUCGAAUGAAGGCCUACGGGUUGUAAAGAUCUGUUGACAGGGACGAAUAAGCCAUGCGAAUAGUUUGGUGUAUGACGGUACCUGUUUAGAAUGCGCCGGCUAACUACGUGCCAGCAGCCGAGGAAAUACGUAGGGAGCAAGCGUUGUCCGGAUUUACUGGGGGUAAAGGGCGCGUAGGUGGGUGCUUAAGUCAGGUGUGAAAAGUCUGGGCUCAACCUGGGGACUGCACUUGAUACUGGGGAUCUUGAGGGCAGGAGAGGAAGGUGGAAUGGCUAGUGUAGCGGUGAAAUGCGUAGAGAUUAGGAGGAACACCAGUGGCGAAGGCGGCUUUCUGGACUGUACCUGACGCUGAGGCGCGAAAGCGUGGGUAGCGAACGGGAUUAGAUACCCUAGUAGUC
rnacentral:rRNA from 1 species